AUGGAUGGAUGGAUGGAUGGAAGGAAGCUGAUUGGUUAAUGAAGACACAUCUCAGUAAAUACAUUCAGAACCAGAACCAGAACCAGAACCAGUGGUCCUUGGUGAUGUUAUGGUUCUUGCCUUCUGUGUUUCUGGUCCUUUAAUAUUGAAUGUUUCUGAUCUGUUUAGUGGUUUUUAGUUUUUCUCCUCUGCAGGACUCUCUCUGUCUCUCUCUCUCUCUCAGGCUUCCUGGUUCUCCUCCAGGGUUUUCAGAUUCUUUCAGAUGUUUUUAAAGCUGUUAAUUCAUCAUGAGUUCUGAUUAUCUAACAGCAUAAGUUCAGGCCCACUGAGGAGAAAUGUCCCUCAUUGGUCUCCGUAGUCCCAUCAUCCCAGCAGGAGUGUGUCCUUCAGAGCCACUCGUCUGCGCUGCAGCUUCCUGGAGCAGAACCGGGGAACGCCGAGCGUCAGACGUCACCCUGUGGUUUAUGUAACCUCUGAACAGCUGGGCUUUCACAUCAGCCGGGAUGAAGAAGUUUGUGUGAGGAAGAGAGGCAGGCGGCGCUCUGAGUGGGCUUAAUCUGGGCGGUGAGCCUGGUCUGUGUGGAGCGUUACGUCAUGGAGAUGCUUUCUAAUGAGGACAGACGUGAUCUCACUUCAGAGCAGAUGGAAAUAAAAAGAACUUCUGACUGAAAAUACAA